rnacentral:rRNA from 1 species
UGGGGAAUUUUGGGCAAUGGGCGAAAGCCUGACCCAGCAACGCCGCGUGAAGGAUGAAGUAUUUCGGUAUGUAAACUUCGUAAGAAUAGGAAGAAUAAAUGACGGUACUAUUUGUAAGGUCCGGCUAACUACGUGCCAGCAGCCGCGGUAAUACGUAGGGACCAAGCGUUGUUCGGAUUUACUGGGCGUAAAGGGCGCGUAGGCGGUGUGUCAAGUCAGUUGUGAAAUCUCCGAGCUUAACUCGGAACGGUCAACUGAUACUGUCACACUAGAGUACAGAAGGGGCAAUCGGAAUUCUUGGUGUAGCGGUGAAAUGCGUAGAUAUCAAGAGGAACACCUGAGGCGAAGGCGGGUUGCUGGGCUGAUACUGACGCUGAGGCGCGAAAGCUAGGGUAGCAAACGGGAUUAGAUACCCGAGUAGUCCCUGAGCGGGCUGGCAAGGCGCAU